rnacentral:rRNA from 1 species
ACUCCUACGGGAGGCAUCAGUGGGGAAUAUUGGACAAUGGGCGCAAGCCUGAUCCAGCCAUGCCGCGUGAGUGAUGACGGCCCUAGGGUUGUAAAGCUCUUUCAACGGUGAAGAUAAUGACGGUAACCGUAGAAGAAGCCCCGGCUAACUUCGUGCCAGCAGCCGCGGUAAUACGAAGGGGGCUAGCGUUGUUCGGAAUAACUGGGGCGUAAAGCGCGCGUAGGCGGAUUGUUAAGUUAGGGGUGAAAUCCCGGGGGCUCAACCCCGGAACUGCCUUUGAUACUGGCAAUCUAGAGUUCGAGAGAGGUGAGUGGAAUUCCGAGUGUAGAGGUGAAAUUCGUAGAUAUUCGGAGGAACACCAGUGGCGAAGGCGGCUCACUGGCUCGAUACUGACGCUGAGGUGCGAAAGUGUGGGGAGCAAACAGGAUUAGAUACCCUGGUAGCACAGAG